rnacentral:rRNA from 1 species
CCUACGGGAGGCAGCAGUGGGGAAUAUUGCACAAUGGGGGAAACCCUGAUGCAGCGACGCCGCGUGAGUGAAGAAGUAUUUCGGUACGUAAAGCUCUAUCAGCAGGGAAGAAAAUGACGGUACCUGACUAAGAAGCCCCGGCUAACUACGUGCCAGCAGCCGCGGUAAUACGUAGGGGGCAAGCGUUAUCCGGAUUUACUGGGUGUAUAGGGAGCGUAGACGGCAGCGCAAGUCUGGAGUGAAAUCCCAUGGCUUAACCAUGGAACUGCUUUGGAAACUGUGCAGCUAGAGUGCAGGAGAGGUAAGCGGAAUUCCUAGUGUAGCGGUGAAAUGCGUAGAUAUUAGGAGGAACACCAGUGGCGAAGGCGGCUUACUGGACUGUAACUGACGUUGAGGCUCGAAAGCGUGGGGAGCAAACAGGAUUAGAUACCCGAGUAGUC